rnacentral:tRNA from 1 species
AAAUGAAAAGCAAUAUGUUGCAUUUAGUUUCGACCUAAAAUUUUGAUACUUUUAUCUUCAUUUU